GUACUUUGCAGAAGUGUCAGACAGAUCUUGUGGUCAGCUGUUAUGGUGGGGAUUGGAUCAUGAAACGACACAUUUGACUCAUGUCACCGUGUCAACACACAGAUGACAUCAAAUGGUUUCUAGCAAAAUCAUCAUUUUGCUUUUGUAUGGCUGACUGAAUCGGAAUGACAACUCAAUUACAGGAGAGUGCUCAUGAGAGUUGCAAAGGCAAGAAAAGAGAAAUAAUACUGUAACCAUAGCAACAAUGACAAAAAGAUAAACAACAUUUUCAAUGUUUCCGAAAUGUCUACCCAAGGGGUGCAAGGAGAAUAUGCAUCAUUCCAAGCAUCACCAAAUGUUGAAUGCUCGCAUGUUCCUAGGUCCAGGUACACAAGCAAAGGGAUUAACAUCCAAAAUACACAGCUGUAGUGAGCCGUAAACUGCCUGGACAAAGUCCGUGAAUUCAAAAUUAGAAGAUUUGAUAUUGCAUCUUUGUUUAAUGUAAAAUUUUAAUGGUCAUGUAAAAUAUUAAUGUAAGUCAAGGAAAGCCAUCCCGGUAAAUAUGAAGGAUGGACAUGCUGAAGAGUCACCCUUCCAACCUGGUCUUCCAUACUUAUUAGCAAUAAGAACAGCAGAGAACCAGCCUUUGAUUUAACGAACAAAGGGAGUGACUACAGUUGGCAAAGCCGGAGGAAGUGGGGCUGGAAAAAGGGGAUUAAGGCCAACAACGCUCGGGAACAAAGAUUAGGCUGCAAGCUUGUGAGGAAGUGAAGCUGGAUUGGAAACUGAGAAAGAAGCUGCAAAAAGAAGACCUAGGGGCUCUGAAGAGCAGAGAGACGCUGUAAAGGGAGGUGAGGCAUUCAAAGUGAGACCAAGUGUCUUGAAAUAGUGGAAAGCAUCCAAAAGAGAAGAGGGGCUGCACAGCUGAGAAAACUGUUUAUGAUUUUUAGCAAUGGAACAUGCACCUAAUUGGGAACAGCAAAACUGAGGUAAUGAAUUAUUUGCAAGUUAAUGUGGAGUCUCCAGAAGUUAAGCCAAAUGAGUUCAGGAAUUAUCAGAAGAGAGAAAGUGCAGUGGAUCUGAUUGUAAUGCAAACUGUCAAUUUUAAUAUUGAAUAGUUGUAUCUCAUAAAGGUUUAUAUUAAUGUUAUCAUAUCUAAAAACACUUGACAUACAAUGAAUUAUUUAUAUUGAAUGUUGUGACUUUAAGUUUAAUGAAAAUUGAUGAUUAUAGAGAAUAAUGAUGAAUAUAUCCAAUUCUGCUUUGGUUUGACCACAAAUCUCCCUUAUAUCAAAAAAAACACAAAAGGUAUUGUUCCUAAGUGACGACAUCAUCUAAUGAUAGAGGUAAUGAGACGGAAAAAGGAGCUCCUUCAAACCCAAGAAAUAGCCCUCACAAAAUGCCAAGAGGAGCCCUCAAAAUAAAAUUAUUUAAGGCCUGUA